rnacentral:ncRNA from 1 species
GGAAGCCGGUGAGAUUCCGGCACAGUCGCGCUACUGUGACAUCGCUUCCGAGCGGUGGAGUCAGAC